GUCCCCAUCGUCUAGAGGCCUAGNNGACACCGCCCUUUCACGGCGGUAACGGGGGUUCGAAUCCCCCUGGGGACGCCA
rnacentral:tRNA from 1 species